rnacentral:ribozyme from 13 species
CGAGGAGCCUUCUGCAGAGGUGAUUUCCAUUCCCAAAAAAGUUAAGCAAAAGCAAAAGCAAAAGCAAAACAAAAAAAAAAAAGCACACCGUUUGGUUGCUUUGGGGGAAGAGGAGGAGAAUUUGUCCUCUUCUCUUUCUUCCUCGUCUCCUA